rnacentral:rRNA from 1 species
ACGAAGGGGGCUAGCGUUACUCGGAUUGACUGGGCGUAAAGGGCGCGUAGGCGGUUCGUACAGUUGGGUGUGAAAUUCCUGGGCUCAACCCGGGGGCUGCAUUCAAUACGUGCGGGCUUGAGUUCGGAAGAGGGUCGUGGAAUUCCCAGUGUAGAGGUGAAAUUCGUAGAUAUUGGGAAGAACACCGGUGGCGAAGGCGGCGACCUGGUCCGAUACUGACGCUGAGGCGCGAAAGCGUGGGGAGCAAACAGG